ensembl:lncRNA
AUGUCUGUGUCCGUGUGUAUGGAGCCAUUGGGUGCGGUCACUAUAGCAACCAGGCUCACACCUGCCUGCUUAACGAGCUCUCUCUGCCACUCUGCCAAGAUUCAUCUUAAACACUUCUCUUUCAACUGCUGCUGUGUCCACAGUGUUACAGCCAUCAUUUUACCCUCAAAACGUUGUUCUCUUUCCAACAUCUUGUCUUUCAAAGCUCAGAGAUGUAAACUUUUUAAACUGUGUGGAUCCAAGUGGAGGGAUCACAUUUUAGUCAUUCAGUGAUUCAAAGAAUAUGAACUUUUAAUAUUCAUUCGAUGUUUUCUGACUCUAAAUUUUCUUUUCUCAUUUCUUAGGGUUUUCUAAUUUACAAUUAAAACAUUUUCAGCUUUUUUCCAACUUCUUCUUCUGUGUAACCUUCAGCUUUUAGCAGUUCAGCACUUUUGUUUUCAGGUUAAAUUCGGGUUGUUUUUUUUUUAUCUCAUUCAAUAUUUUUAACUCAAAAUUCAGUAAUUAAUUCAUUUCAGUGCAUACAUUCAGAUUCAAGCAUUCACACUGCAGUUUCUUCAGAAAAUGCACUUUCUAUUCUAUUUUAUUAGUGUGAAUGCUUGAAAAGCAUUCACAGUAUUGUUAUUCGAAUCUUUAUU